AUGUUGUCACACCGCGAUCGCUCCUUCCACACUCUUCUAACAACCGCUAGCCCACCACACUACCCUCUAUUCACACGAAAGCACACGGACCCUUUACACCCUCUGUUCUCCUGCUAUCGUCCAGAACAUACCAACCGGAACGCUCACCACCAUCACACGCGGGCAACAACCUCCAGACCAUCUUCAACGCUACAUAAUUUCCGUCCCUCCACCAACACAGACUUCUGUUCUUAA